AAUUACGUUCUAGCCAGGUACCAUUUUUUACACUCAGAAGAUGGUAAAAGUUUUGCAAGAAUGUUAGUAGAAAUCCAUUGUUGUUACGGUUAUGCUAGCGAAAUAGAUCUAUUUAUUGCCCAAGUUGUGCUUCAGUAAGUAUGAAUCUCUUAAAUUAUUUCAUUUUUGCAUGCUCAAAAGAUUUUUCUCCAACUCUUGCUUGAUUUUUGUUGCCAAGGUUGGGGCAAGCACUAAAAAGAAGGAUAGCCAUGGCAAAAAUAAGAAAAAUAGCAAAGAUGAAACAUGUACAAAGUUUACGUAAUGCAUAAAGUUUAAAACACAAACAAGAUUUACAUAAGGUAUAACGGUUAAAACAUGUACAAAGUUUACGUAACAUAUAAGGUGUAAAACAUGUAUAAGGUUUAUGUAACGUAUAAGAUUAAAACAUGUACAACAUUGUAAAAUAUGUGAGGAAGCAUGAAACUUAUUAAUGAGAAACAGAAUACAAGCUAAGUAGAAAUAAAAUGUUGAAAAAGAGAAAGAAAUUUUCAGGGACCUUUCGACUUCUCAGUAAGACAUGCAUGAUUCUACUGAGAAGGAAUGAGGAGAUAUAAAAUUGUUUUUGAAAAAGAGAGGAGCACCCAAUUUCGAAUGAAAAAUUGCAAGGGAGUGAUUUUGCUUGCCGAAAAGAGCUCGAAGAAUAGAAGUUUUUUCCACGAUUUUUAGCCUCUCUCUUUUGGUACUUUGUCCACUGUUUCGAAAUCAUUGAUUCCCUGUGAAUUCAAUUUUUUGAAAAUUGUCAAAAAAGCAUUGAUGAGACUUGCUUCAAUACUAAUUAAUUUGAUUUGUGUCAAAAUCAUGUCCAAAUUCUACAUCAAAUUACUGUUCAAGUGCUCAUUAUGAUUGAUAUGUUUUCAACCUUCCUAGAACUAUGUAUUAUCUUUGAAUUCUUUGUUUGUCCAGGUAUUUAUGCCUCAAAAUAGAAAAUCUGCCGUAGAUGCUUUCCAAUCUUAUACGAGUCACCAUCCAAAUAUCAUCAAAGGCCCUCCGUUCAUUUGCCUCUCCUGAACUUCCUAUAUUUUCUACUAAAGUUGUUCGAGGGGGACAGUUGGCAACAUUCACCGUACUAUUAGAACGCUAUGAACAAAGCAUCAGGAGAGACCCCUCGUAUACUGAAUAUCUGGAUAAAAUAGCGCAGCUUUUCUUUGAUGUUCCGCCUCCACCGCCUCGCAGGAGAGGUAUUCUAGAUAAUUUGUUGCAAUCUAUCAUAAUGAAUGGGAAUGAAUUCGACUCGGAUGAAGGAGAGUCAGACGGUCCAUCGCUUUUGUUCAGCAGUCCAUCAUGCUCAUAUGUGCCGCAACGAGCAGUUGAAAACGAGGACCUUGACUGA
rnacentral:lncRNA from 1 species